rnacentral:rRNA from 1 species
GACGAACUCUGGCGGCGUGCCUAAUACAUGCAAGUCGAGCGGACCGGAUUGGGGCUUGCCUUGAUUCGGUCAGCGGCGGACGGGUGAGUAACACGUGGGCAACCUGCCCGCAAGACCGGGAUAACUCCGGGAAACCGGAGCUAAUACCGGAUAACACCGAAGACCGCAUGGUCUUCGGUUGAAAGGCGGCCUUUGGGCUGUCACUUGCGGAUGGGCCCGCGGCGCAUUAGCUAGUUGGUGAGGUAACGGCUCACCAAGGCGACGAUGCGUAGCCGGCCUGAGAGGGUGACCGGCCACACUGGGACUGAGACACGGCCCAGACUCCUACGGGAGGCAGCAGUAGGGAAUCUUCCGCAAUGGGCGAAAGCCUGACGGAGCGACGCCGCGUGAGCGGAGAAGGCCUUCGGGUCGUAAGGCUCUGUUGUGAGGGACGAAGGAGCGCCGCUCGAAGAGGGCGGCGCGGUGACGGUACCUCACGAGAAAGCCCCGGCUAACUACGUGCCAGCCGCCGCCGUAA